rnacentral:lncRNA from 1 species
AAACAUACGAAUAUUGAUGGGUUGCUGUUUCACUGACAUUAAUGAUACAUACGUAAUUUCGAGAUUAGAAUUUUGAUCCAGAAGUGCGAGUCGUAUCAACAUAACUAACCAAAGCCUAAUUUGACUGUUUUAUAAAUACAAAUUUACAAAAUACGACUUCGAUCAGCAUUUUGAUACACAACUGGAUCCCAGUUACAUUGAAAACUCAAAGCACCUAUUGUUAUUCCAC